CUCCCUAUUUUUCAGUAUUGGUUCAAUCUUCCAUCAAGAUACAACUUUUGCUCAAUAACAAGAUGUUCUUCAAAUGCAUUUAUGCAACAAAAACCUUUGUUCAGCGAACGAGCUCCAUGGCAAAUACUAUGAACGACAUUUUUGAUAUGAAUAGAGUAUUGUGUGUACUUGUAAUAGCCAAGUCGUUGCAUAAGGCAUUGAAGGACUUUUGAAGAUUAUUUUUAGAUGUUGGAGUCCGAAAGAAAGAUGUAGAAUUCCAAUGCGAAUCAUUUGUUCAACAAUGUGUAGAAGAGCGAACCAUACUCAAAAACGUUCAGUCGAAAUAAGUUUACAUCAUCAAGAAAAAAGCUGUAAAUUGCAUUCAAAAUUAUUAUUUUUAUACGAAACUUUGACCAAAUACUUAGUGAUUAUUUUGCUUAGCAAAAAAGUAGGUACCUACUAAUCUGUGACAACGUAAAGAAAUGAAAGAAAAAAAUAUACAAUUAUAUUAUUUAUAUUAUGGUACUUAUUAGACCAACCAAUUGUUAUUAUUAAUAAAGUAAUAAAAAUAAAUAUCUAAUAAUUUCAUAGG
rnacentral:lncRNA from 1 species